AUUGACAGGUCAAAGCUCUUUGUGAUGAUUUGCGAGUUCUACGAAAGCAGGAUUUCAAGCAUCUUUUGAAGUGGCGGAUGCAAUUGAGAAAAGCUCUGUCUCC